CUGCCCUCAAGCCCGGCUUGUGUGUUGGGGCCUGCUGUUACCGGCAGCCCUUAAAAUCAGUGGCGGUGCCAUCUGGCUCUAAGCGUAGUAAUACUUCUCGCUACAGGGUCCCGGUGGAUGCUUGCCAUCAACCCCUAAUUUUCUAU
rnacentral:misc_RNA from 1 species